rnacentral:rRNA from 1 species
UUAACCUCCGAUCACGCAAGAUUACCCGCUGAA